rnacentral:rRNA from 1 species
GUGCCAGCCGCCGCGGUAAUACGAAGGGGGCUAGCGUUGCUCGGAAUCACUGGGCGUAAAGGGCGCGUAGGCGGCGUUUUAAGUCGGGGGUGAAAGCCUGUGGCUCAACCACAGAAUGGCCUUCGAUACUGGGACGCUUGAGUCUGGUAGAGGUUGGUGGAACUGCGAGUGUUGAGGUGAAAUUGGUAGAUAUUCGCAAGAAAAGCGGUGGCGAAGGCGGCCAACUGGACCUGGACUGGCGCUGAGGCGC